AGAGUUUGAUCCUGGCUCAGAUCAACGCUGGGGCGUGCUUACACAUGCAAGUCGAGCGAGGCCAGGGGGGCAACUCCCUGAGUCGAGCGGCCGACGGGUGAGUAACACGUGGGUAACCUACCCGGAAGUGGGGAAUACCUCGGGGAAACUCGAGCUAAUACCGCAUGACAUCUCGAGGACGAAAGUCCUUGUGAUCAAAGCGGGGCCGCAAGGCCUCGUGCUACCGGAUGGGCCCGCGCCCGAUUAGCUGGUUGGCGAGGUAAUGGCUCACCAAGGCGACGAUCGGUAACCGGCCUGAGAGGGCGAUCGGUCACACCGGAACUGAGACACGGUCCGGACUCCUACGGGAGGCAGCAGUGGGGAAUCUUGCGCAAUGGGCGAAAGCCUGACGCAGCAACGCCGCGUGGAGGAUGAAGGCCCUUGGGUUGUAAACUCCUGUCGGCUGGGAAGAACUCGUUCGCGGUUAAUACCCGCGGACGUUGACUUACCAGCAAAGGA
rnacentral:rRNA from 1 species